GAUGAAUGCUGGCGGCGUGCCUAACACAUGCAGGUCGAGCGGCAGCGAGGGGUGCUUGCACCCUGUCGGCGAGCGGCGAACGGCUGAGUAACGCGUAGGAAUUUGCCCCAAAGUGAGGAAUAACUGCCCGAAAGGGUAGCUAAUGCCGCAUAUGGUCUUCGGAUUAAAGGAUUUAUCCGCUUUGGGAGAAGCCUGCGUUGGAUUAGGUUGUUGGUAGGGUAAUGGCCUACCAAGCCGACGAUCCAUAGCUGGUCUGAGAGGAUGAUCAGCCAGACUGGAACUGAGACACGGUCCAGACUCCUACGGGAGGCAGCAGUGAGGAAUCUUCCACAAUGGGCUAAAGCCUGAUGGAGCAACGCCGCGUGAAGGAUGAAGGCCUUCGGGUUGUAAACUUCUUUUAUGAGUGAAGAAUAUGACGGUAACUCAUGAAUAAGCACCGGCUAACUACGUG
rnacentral:rRNA from 1 species